GGGAUUGCCUUAGUAACGGCGAGUGAAGCGGCAAUAGCUCAAAUUUGAAAGCUGGCGUCUUCGACGUCCGCGUUGUAAUUUGUAGAGGAUGCUUCGGCGAAGACUCCUGCCUAAGUCCCCUGGAACGGGGCGUCAUAGAGGGUGAGAAUCCCGUAUGUGGCGGGCAGUCUAAGCCAUGUGAAGCUCCUUCGACGAGUCGAGUUGUUUGGGAAUGCAGCUCUAAAUGGGAGGUAAAUUUCUUCUAAAGCUAAAUAUUGGCCAGAGACCGAUAGCGCACAAGUAGAGUGAUCGAAAGAUGAAAAGCACUUUGGAAAGAGAGUUAAAAAGUACGUGAAAUUGUUGAAAGGGAAGCGCUUGCAACCAGACUCGCUCGUAGUUGCUCAGCCGGCCUCUUGGCCGGUGUACUCUUCUACGAUCGGGCCAGCAUCAGUUCGGGCGGCAGGAUAAAGGUGUCGGGAAUGUAGCACCCUUCGGGGUGUGUUAUAGCCCGGCGCGGAAUGCUGCCAGCCUGGACUGAGGAUCUCGCUUCGGCAAGGAUGCUGGCGUAAUGGUUGUAAGCGGCCCGUCUUGAAACACGGACCAAGGAGUCUAACAUCUAUGCGAGUGUUUGGGUGUCAAACCCAUGCGCGUAAUGAAAGUGAACGGAGGUGGGAACCCCUCACGGGGUGCACCAUCGACCGAUCCUGAUGUCUUCGGAUGGAUUUGAGUAAGAGCAUAGCUGUUGGGACCCGAAAGAUGGUGAACUAUGCCUGAAUAGGGUGAAGCCAGAGGAAACUCUGGUGGAGGCUCGCAGCGGGUUCUGACGUGCAAAUCGAUCGUCAAAUUUGGGUAUAGGGGCGAAAG
rnacentral:rRNA from 1 species